AUGGGGAGGUCGCCGUGCUGCGAGAAGGAGCACACCAACAAGGGGGCGUGGACCAAGGAGGAGGACCAGCGGCUGAUCGCCUACAUCAGGGUCAACGGCGAGGGCUGCUGGCGCUCGCUGCCCAAGGCGGCCGGCCUGCUGCGGUGCGGCAAGAGCUGCCGCCUCCGCUGGAUGAACUACCUCCGGCCCGACCUCAAGCGCGGCAACUUCACCGACGACGAGGACGAGCUCAUCAUCCGCCUCCACAGCCUCCUCGGCAACAAGUGGUCUCUGAUCGCCGGGCAGCUGCCGGGCAGGACGGACAACGAGAUCAAGAACUACUGGAACACGCACAUCAAGCGCAAGCUCCUCUCCCGCGGCAUGGACCCCCAUACUCACCGCCCGCUCACGCCCGUCGACGGCGCCGCGGCGUCCCGCCCGGCACACAUAGCUGUGCCAGCGAGGGCAGCGCCACCCACGAUGUUCGCCCCCCUGACGACGAAGCAGCCUCCCAUGGAGUCGUCGUCCGACGACGGCAGCAGCGGCGCGACGAGCACGGGGGAGCCGCGGUGCCCCGACCUGAACCUCGACCUGUCAGUGGGCCCGCCGGCUGCCGACACGCCGACCUCGCACCCGGUCUGCCUCUGCCGCCACCUCGGCCUCCGCGGCGGGGCGGUGUGCAGCUGCCGUCAGGCCGACAGCCCGGGCUCCCAGGGGGGCGGGUUCAGAUAUUUCAGGCCGCUGGAGGAAGGCCAGUACAUAUGA
rnacentral:rRNA from 1 species